rnacentral:rRNA from 1 species
GGGAUUAGUGGCGAACGGGUGAGUAACACGUGGGCAAUCUGCCCUGCACUUCGGGACAAGCCCUGGAAACGGGGUCUAAUACCGGAUACUCACCGCCUUCCGCAUGGGGGGUGGUGGAAAGCUCCGGCGGUGCAGGAUGAGCCCGCGGCCUAUCAGCUUGUUGGUGGGGUAGUGGCCCACCAAGGCGACGACGGGUAGCCGGCCUGAGAGGGCGACCGGCCACACUGGGACUGAGACACGGCCCAGACUCCUACGGGAGGCAGCAGUGGGGAAUAUUGCACAAUGGGCGAAAGCCUGAUGCAGCGACGCCGCGUGAGGGAUGACGGCCUUCGGGUUGUAAACCUCUUUCAGCAGGGAAGAAGCGCAAGUGACGGUACCUGCAGAAGAAGCACCGGCUAACUACGUGCCAGCAGCCGCGGUAAUACGUAGGGUGCGAGCGUUGUCCGGAAUUAUUGGGCGUAAAGAGCUCGUAGGCGGCUUGUUGCGUCGAUUGUGAAAGCCCGGGGCUCAACCCCGGGUCUGCAGUCGAUACGGGCAGGCUUGAGUUCGGUAGGGGAGAUCGGAAUUCCUGGUGUAGCGGUGAAAUGCGCAGAUAUCAGGAGGAACACCGGUGGCGAAGGCGGAUCUCUGGGCCGAUACUGACGCUGAGGAGCGAAAGCGUGGGGAGCGA